GUGGGGAUUCUCACUGGGAUAGAGCUCAGUUUGUUCAUCCUGGGAUUCUGUGUGCACAAGAGAGAUGCGAUGGUGAGAAUUUCUCAACGUUCGGUACCUGCAGUUCUGAGCAGCGAGAGUAUCAUUCAGGAAGAGGAUCCUGAUAAUACGUUUACCAAUCUGGCGUCAAGGAACGGGAGUGAGAAUUGCUAUGAAGAUGGUGAAGACGCUGAACCAGUGUACGCCAACAGCACCUUCUUUCUGGCCUGAACUCGGCUCUCAAAUCAUCCGUAUCACUUAAAAAGAGAGUGCGAGAGAGAGAGAGAGUUGAAGUGAGACAGAGUGACUGAGACAAAGAGACUGAUAUAAAUGAUUGACUAAGAGAGUGAGAGGGAGGCAGACUGAUUGAGCCUGAUUAAGAACGACUCAGUGAGAGAGAGGCCAUGAGA